UACGUAGGUGGCGAGCGUUGUCCGGAUUUACUGGGCGUAAAGAGCGCGCAGGCGGUCGUACAAGUCGCGUGUGAAAGCCCCCCGGCUCAACUGGGGAGGGUCACGCGAUACUGUUCGACUCGAAGGCAGGAGAGGGAAGUGGAAUUCCCGGUGUAGUGGUGAAAUGCGUAGAUAUCGGGAGGAACACCGGUGGCGAAGGCGACUUCCUGGCCUGUUCUUGACUGCUGAGGCGCGAA
rnacentral:rRNA from 1 species